GAUGAACGCUGGCGGCGUGCCUAAUACAUGCAAGUCGAGCGAACGGACGAGGAGCUUGCUCCUCUGAUGUUAGCGGCGGACGGGUGAGUAACACGUGGAUAACCUACCUAUAAGACUGGGAUAACUUCGGGAAACCGUAGCUAAUACCGGAUAAUAUUUUGAACCGCAUGGUUCAAAAGUGAAAGACGGUCUUGCUGUCACUUAUAGAUGGAUCCGCGCCGCAUUAGCUAGUUGGUAAGGUAACGGCUUACCAAGGCAACGAUGCAUAGCCGACCUGAGAGGGUGAUCGGCCACACUGGAACUGAGACACGGUCCAGACUCCUACGGGAGGCAGCAGUAGGGAAUCUUCCGCAAUGGGCGAAAGCCUGACGGAGCAACGCCGCGUGAGUGAUGAAGGUCUUCGGAUCGUAAAACUCUGUUAUUAGGGAAGAACAUAUGUGUAAGUAACUGUGCACGUCUUGACGGUACCUAAUCAGAAAGCCACGGCUAACUACGUG
rnacentral:rRNA from 1 species